rnacentral:rRNA from 1 species
GAUGAACGCUGGCGGCGUGCCUAAUACAUGCAAGUCGAGCGAAGCGGGGACGGGUGAGUAACACGUGGAUAACCUCCUAUAAGACUGGGAUAAAUUCGGGAAACCGGAGCUAAACCGGAUGAUUAUCGAUGGCUACGCGCUGCAUUAGCUAGUGGGUAAGGUAACGGCUUACCAAGGCCACGAUGCAUAUACGACCUGAGAGGGGGAUCGGCCACACUGUAACUGAUCCACGGUCCAGACUCCGACGGUAGGCAGCAGUAGGGAAUCUUCCGCAAUGGGCGAAAGCCUGACGGAGCAACGCCGCUUGAGUGAUGAAGGUCUUCGGAUCGUAAAACUCUGUUAUUAGGGAAGCGGUACCUAAUCAGAAAGCCACGGCUAACUACGUGCCAGCAGCCGCGGUAAUAC